rnacentral:tRNA from 1 species
GGAGGUUAUAGUUCAGUGGUAGAGUGCAUGCUUAUUAGGUAUAAGGUCCUGGGUUCAAUCCCCAGUACCUCCA